CAGUCGCCGCGGUAAUACGAAGGGGGCUAGCGUUGUUCGGAAUUACUGGGCGUAAAGCACACGUAGGCGGAUAUUUAAGUCAGGGGUGAAAUCCCGCAGCUCAACUGCGGAACUGCCUUUGAUACUGGGUAUCUUGAGUAUGGAAGAGGUUAGUGGAAUUGCGAGUGUAGAGGUGAAAUUCGUAGAUAUUCGCAGGAACACCAGUGGCGAAGGCGGCUAACUGGUCCAUAACUGACGCUGAGGUGCGAAAGCGUGGGGAGCAAACAGGAUUAGAUACCCCAGUAGUCCCUGUCUCUUAUAC
rnacentral:rRNA from 1 species